CUCCCUGGGCCCUCCAGGCCUCUUCCUUCUAGGAGGCUGCUGGGUUUCCCUCAGCACUGCUCUCCGAGACCCCUCCCUGCAGCCUGGGGCCCCCCCAGGAGCGGGCAAGAGCUAGUUAGCCUGGAGGUCAAGCCUUCCUCCAUCAGGAGUUGGGCCCCGUGAGAACUGGGGGCAGAGGGCAUGCAGGCGGGGUGGGGGCACGUGGGAAGGUGCCCGCAGGGGCCGGCAGGGUCACUGCCUCCAUCCGCCUUCUCCUCCUCCUCCCUCUGCUCCCAGGGGAAAGGUGGGCGGUCCAGGGUCUUGGAGAAGGCACUGGGUGGGGGGUGGGCAGGAGCCUUGGUUGACGGGUGGAUGUUUAACCCUCUCCCUGGUGAUGGCCAACAGCCCGGCCUUGAGUGGCCAGACAAGCCCGUCCAUGGGCACAGAGCCGACAGAUUUGGUGGCUCCGGUGCCCUGGAAACGGGAGCUGGGUCGGCAGUGCCCAAGGCCGGGCAGCAAGCUCCCUCCUGUCCCCUCUGAGCCUGGCCUGUGGGCUCAGCCGGUCAGCACUUUCUGCAAACCCUGCACGCAGCAAGCAGAGCCUAGCCAGGCGGCCCGAGGCACGCCCCCGGAGGGACGGGCGGCCAGGCCCCACUGUGAGCCAGGGCACGGCCAUUUUCCCCAGCGCGCACCCCACCACACUGCUGCCUCCUUGAGCCAACUCCUCUGGGGUCUCUCGUCUCCCCAGCCCUUCCUGCCUGCCCCGAGACCCUCCUCAACUUCCAGGGGCAGCAUCGUGGCCUGGGAACCCUCUUCUCCCGGCCCAGGGGGCCGUGCGUCCUCUUCCUGCUGCAGAGAGAGGCGGGUGAGCCCCAGACAAGGGCACCCCGGACCCGCGUGGGCAGCCACGGCCCCAGGGGGCUGGAGCCGGAUAACUGGCCAGCAUGUCUCUCAGGACAGGAAGCGAGAGAGCAACAACCGGUGUCCCACCACUCCAUGCCAGGCCAGGACACACAGACACCGAAGGGGUGACCACAGAGUCACCAGGCCAGACCUCCCCCAGGCCCAGGAUGGACUCCAGCUGCCCCUGGACUGGCUCCUCCAGCUGUUCCUGCAGAGACUGCAGAGAGACACCCUGACCCCCGCCCUCCAGCCCACCAACCCACCCACUCACCCGCGUGGCUUCCUUGGGAGCCACGGGCCACCAUCCCACAGCCCGAAGUCCCUCUGAGCCCGGCCCCUCUGAAGCGGGAGCAGGAAGCAGAUGGACGUUUCUGAGGGUCAGGAGCAGGAGAGAGGAGUUCGUGGGGAGGAUGGGGCGAGACCUGAACACACGUGAGAGAGAACGCAAGAGGGGUGGGCGGUCUCCAGUGGGGACAGGGUGGACAUUCCGAGAAAGAGGCAGGACUUGGGGGAGGGAGUGAGGAAGACGGUCAGGUGGGGGCCCUGGGGAAGGGGCCAAAACACGAGACUGGAGGAUGGAAACUGGGGGUUGUAGCCCCUGGGGCCGGAGGGAAGGGGCCCUGAUGGCCGCUCCUGGAGAUAGAAGAGUGCGCGAAGCCGGCAGGGGCUGGAGGCAGAGUGAGCGGUGCCCGAGGCCCAGGAGCAGCAUCUUCCCUUCUUGCUGAGGGGGGCAGACGGGUGCCAUUUUGUGCGGCCCUGUGUGCCUGGCGGGCGCCCCGGGUCUGCGUGCCCGAGAGCGAGAGCACCCUCCAGCGGUGGACGCAAAGCCAGAAGGACGAGCGUCUGCGUCUUGGAGGCUGUCGGGCUGGGAGGGCCUGGGGGGCGCUGGGGCUCCCGGGCCACAUUCUGCCCCUGGGGCAGCCCCACCGAGAGGCCAGGCAUCUUCACCGGGAACAGGGAGAAGGGGGUCUGGAGAGACAGUUGUCCCAGAGCAGGCUAAGUGCCCCCGCACCAGCUGAGGGCUGGGCGCUGGGCACUGGGGUCCAAGGCAGGUGCUCUGCCCAGACGAAGCGGCCCUCGUCUGCUCACCCCUGCUCCUUUCCCGCACGCUCCACUUGAGCAGGAUGGUGGUCACUCCCCACUCGGGGACCCCUGCUGUCCACUGUGGACCCCAGCGGCCCACUCUGUCCUCUCUGGGCUUCUGUUCCUUGCAUGUUGGGAUCACAGCCCCAUUGCCCCAGCUCCAUGAGGCCGGGGCUGGAGGGUGUCUGGGGAAAGCCCCCUAGUAUGCAAAGCCCCGUGGAGUUCAAGGCCUGCGCAGUGGGAGGGCAGUGGGAGGGGAGGGUGAGGACCAGACUCCUGGUGCGUGAUUUAGCUGGUGCACAUUAUUUGCUUAAGUCAAAACUCCCAGCCCAGUGGGGUUGGGGGCUGGGGAAUUAGGGUGAAGGACACAGGGGCCUUUUCCUGAUGGGGUCUGCUUAUCCCAAAGGCCCCUUAGGCUGCAAGCAUGGCCCCCACAGCAACUCACUUAGUGUGACACCUGCUCAGAGGACUCCCUUCUGGGACUCGGGGAGCCUCCUGAGGGGCCGGCUCUGCUCCUACCUCCUGGGAAGCCAGGAUGCAAGGGAACGGGCUGAAAUCAGAUGGGAUCAGGGACACUUCCUGAUUUGGGGUCGGGAGUAGCUCCUCCCAGGAGCCACGGCCACUUGGGCACCAGGGUCCUGGCCGGGUGGCUGGCAGAAGGGGCGGCCGUCUCCAGGUGGGACUCGGUACCCUGCAGCCCACGGAGCUGGACUCCGGGAACCUCCUUUGGUGAAUGGUUGCCAAGGGGAGGCAUCGCCCCCCACUCCAGCUCAGGCGCCCCCGCCAGCCCCUGGUCGCAUCCUUACAGCCCACACCGGGCCCUCACCGGGCCCUCCUGUGCCAGGCUGGACCCUGAGGCUCUUCAAGGACUAGCUCCAGCCCGGACGUCCGGGAACUGACCUGUCCCAAGCUGCACGGCCGAGGUGCGGAGGCGGCCGUGCUGGGCUCCGGCCCAGGGUGGUCUCCGGGUUGGUGCCUGGGGCUCGGGGGAGAGGGUUGCUUUUCAUAGUUUGGCUGAGGGGACGGCAAAGAUGUGCUCCGUCCCGAUCUGCGUGCCUCCUUCACCCACGGACAUGGCCGCACGCCGGUCUCCAUCACGGCUCCAUCCUUGGCCAUCUCACCGAGACUCGGGGACCCACGGUGGCUGCUCCCCCGCUGGUCAGCUGAGAGACGGCCCUUGACGCAGGGCGCACGCCAAGGAGGCCAGGGGUUGGUCACUGCCUGAAUGUCCCCGGACUGAUGCCCGUGUGCCCUUGGGCAGCCUUCCCCUCCGACAGGCUGUCCAGGCCGGGAAACCCUAAGCCAAAGGGAUUAAGAAGAAAGGACAGAAUCGGCCGUUCCUGUGGCUGUGCCCGUCUGAGCUCCAUUUAGUGUAUAUUUGCUCAGUGGGUAAAAACACAGAGGUGAUGACGCCAAGAGCCCGGACGUGCUCCCGUCCCUCAGGGCCCUGCUGCCAUGAGCCUUCCAUGGGACCGGAGGGGGGCCCGCCGACGUUUCUGUGUCUCGGGUGGCCCCUUGAGGAGAGGGGUGUCACGGAGCGGCCUCCUUGUCCACCUGCCUCCAGGGUGAGGGCCAAGGAGGCCAGGCGAGCCAAGGGGCUUCCGUUCCGGAGGAGGAAGCGUUACAGAGAGGCGGCGAAGGCUCGCAGCAGUGGCAGGUGCUUGCCAUCCCUGCCCUGUUCCCCAGUGGAGGGGUCCAAUGGCGGUUCCUAUGUCACAUGUAUUUUACCACAAUAAAGCAAAAACUGCCCAAGGGACUGGAAAA